CGUCAUGUCAGAACCGGCAAGGAUCCUCAGGUGGGCGGAGACCUAUGUUCCGGCCCUGUCGGCGGUCCACAUUCCCGGCGUUGUCAAUUGGACGGCAGAUUUCAUGAGCCGGACGACGAUAGACCCCGGGGAAUGGUCUCUCCAUCCGGAAGUAUUCAACGAUCUCUGUCAUCACUCGGAAGGGA